GACGAACGCUGGCGGCGUGCUUAACACAUGCAAGUCGAACGGAAAGGCCCUGCUUUUGUGGGGUGCUCGAGUGGCGAACGGGUGAGUAACACGUGAGUAACCUGCCCUUGACUUUGGGAUAACUUCAGGAAACUGGGGCUAAUACCGGAUAGGAGCUCCUGCUGCAUGGUGGGGGUUGGAAAGUUUCGGCGGUUGGGGAUGGUCUCGCGGCUUUUCAGCUUGUUGGUGGGGUAGUGGCUUACCAAGGCUUUGACGGGUAGCCGGCCUGAGAGGGUGACCGGCCAGAAUGGGAAUGAGAGACGGCACAGAAUCGAAGGGGAGGAAGCAGGGGGGAAUAUUGCAGAAUGGGAGGAAGCGUGAUGCAGAAACGCCGCGUGCGGGAUGACGGGCUUCGGGUUGUAAACCGCUUUCGACUGUGACGAAGAGUGAGUGACGGUAAUGGGUAAAGAAGGACCGGCUAACUACGUG
rnacentral:rRNA from 1 species